rnacentral:rRNA from 1 species
AUGCCCUAUGUCUUUGUUCCUUUUUGGUCAUUCGAUGACAAAAGGGGGAGAAGCAUAUGUGUUGAUAGUCUUCAAGCGGGUUUAUUGGGUCAGGUGCUAUAUUUUUUGUUAAGUUUGCAACUCGUUCAUAAACAUUUGGUUUUUGAGAAGGCAAAUUACUUAUAUGCACAUUUUCAGAGGGAGCCCUUCAACUUCAUGAAGCCAAUGACCACGUUCUUUAACUUUCACAUAUUUUUAUCCGCGUUGAAAACUUCAACCAGUUUGUCAUCAAUCACCAAAAAGGGGGAGCUUGUAAUUGCAUCUAGUGCCACCCCUAGUUGGUUUUGGAGUAUUGACGACAAAUGUGGUUGA